UAGAAGGUAAUCCUCCAUAACAUUGCGAGAGGGCAUCUGAUUGCAAUUAAAGUUUCGGCGGUAUAUGAUUGGUGUGCGUUUGAUUAGCUAGUUGGUAGGGUAACGGCCUACCAAGGCGACGAUCAAUAGCUGGCGUGAGAGCGCGACCAGCCACACUGGAACUGAGACACGGUCCAGACUCCUACGGGAGGCAGCAGUAGGGAAUAUUGGACAAUGGAGGAAACUCUGAUCCAGCCAUGCCGCGUGAUAGAUGAAGGCCCUCUGGGUUGUAAAUAUCUUUUAUCUGGGAAGAAACACUCCUAUUCUUAGGAACUUGACGGUACCAGAGGAAUAAGCACCGGCUAACUCCGUG
rnacentral:rRNA from 1 species